AGGACGAACGCUGGCGGCGUGCUUAACACAUGCAAGUCGAACGGUGAAGCCCCUUCGGGGGUGGAUCAGUGGCGAACGGGUGAGUAACACGUGAGCAACCUGCCCUUGGCUCUGGGAUAACUUCGGGAAACCGGAGCUAAUACCGGAUACGACACGCGAACGCAUGUUCUGCGUGUGGAAAGAUUUAUCGGCCAGGGAUGGGCUCGCGGCCUAUCAGCUAGUUGGUGGGUAACGGCCCACCAAGGCGACGACGGGUAGCCGGCCUGAGAGGGCGACCGGCCACACUGGGACUGAGACACGGCCCAGACUCCUACGGGAGGCAGCAGUGGGGAAUAUUGCGCAAUGGGCGAAAGCCUGACGCAGCGACGCCGCGUGAGGGAUGAAGGCCUUCGGGUUGUAAACCUCUUUCAGCAGGGAAGAAGCGAAAGUGACGGUACCUGCAGAAGAAGCACCGGCUAACUACGCGCCAGCAGCCGC
rnacentral:rRNA from 1 species